rnacentral:rRNA from 1 species
GACGAAUGCUGGCGGCGUGCCUAAUACAUGCAAGUCGAGCGAGCUUGCCUAGAUGAUUUUAGUGCUUGCACUAAAUGAAACUAGAUACAAGCGAGCGGCGGACGGGUGAGUAACACGUGGGUAACCUGCCCAAGAGACUGGGAUAACACCUGGAAACAGAUGCUAAUACCGGAUAACAACACUAGACGCAUGUCUAGAGUUUGAAAGAUGGUUCUGCUAUCACUCUUGGAUGGACCUGCGGUGCAUUAGCUAGUUGGUAAGGUAACGGCUUACCAAGGCGACGAUCCAUAGCCGGCCUGAGAGGGUGAACGGCCACAUUGGGACUGGAGACACGGGCCCAGACUCCGUACGGGAGGCAGCAGGUGGGGAAUAUUGCACAAGUGGGGAAACCCUGAUGCAGCGACGCCGCGU